UACGGAGGGUGCAAGCGUUAUCCGGAUUCACUGGGUUUAAAGGGUGCGUAGGAGGGCAGGUAAGUCAGUGGUGAAAUCUCCGAGCUUAACUUGGAAACUGCCGUUGAUACUAUCUGCCUUGAAUAUUGUGGAGGUGAGCGGAAUAUGUCAUGUAGCGGUGAAAUGCUUAGAUAUGCCAUAGAACACCAAUUGCGAAGGCAGCUGGCUAGACCUGUAUUGACGCUGAGGCACGAAAGCGUGGGGAGCGAACAGG
rnacentral:rRNA from 1 species